GUAACGAUAAAGCGGGUGAAAAGCCCGCUCGCCGGAAGACCAAGGGUUCCUGUCCAACGUUAAUCGGGGCAGGGUGAGUCGACCCCUAAGGCGAGGCCGAAAGGCGCAGUCGAUGGGAAACGGGUUAAUAUUCCCGUACUUGGUGUUACUGCGAAGGGGGGACGGAGAAGGCUAUGUUGGCCGGGCGACGGUUGUCCCGGUUUAAGCGUGUAG
rnacentral:rRNA from 1 species